GCGAGAGUGGUGAAAUUGGCAUACACGCCAGACUUAGGAUCUGGUGCCCUAGGCAUGAGGGUUCAAGUCCCUCCUCUCGCA
rnacentral:tRNA from 1 species